rnacentral:rRNA from 1 species
UACGGAGGAUGCAAGCGUUAUCCGGAAUGAUUGGGCGUAAAGCGUCCGCAGGUGGCAAUGUAAGUCUGCUGUCAAAGCGUCUGGCUCAACCAGAUAAAGGCAGUGGAAACUACAUAGCUAGAGUAAGGUAGGGGUAGAGGGAAUUCCUGGUGUAGCGGUGAAAUGCGUAGAGAUCAGGAAGAACACCGGUGGCGAAAGCGCUCUGCUGGACCUUAACUGACAUGAGGGACGAAAGCUAGGGGAGCGAAUGGG